CAGAUGGCACUGAAGGCCUGGCCAGGUGUGCCUGGUCCCAGUUAUGAGUGUCUGGUCUCAGCACAGUGGAAGGGAAUAUAGGAUAGCAGGUAAGUGAUUUUAUUCAGAUCGGAUCUGACCAUGCAGUGAGCAAGAGGAAGGUGCGGAGCCAUGGAAGAAAGCCUGGAUGAGAAGUGACCCACAGGGUACAACAGAGCUCCUGGCUGCCCUGCUGGGAAGGCUGCUGAGUGAAACUGCUGCACCAUUACAACCACUUGUAACCUGGAGUAUGACAGAAAACACUGCUGCAAAUCCGUGUGGAGUGGUUGCCACAGGGAAGGAGGUGGGGAGCUCCCAGAGGAAGCCUGAAAUUAGGCAUCACCCAGAUGUUCUGCAUGAAUCCAAGCCACGUGUUGUGGACUGAAGACAAAUAUCAGUGAUAAAAUGAAGGUCAGCAAUUUAAUAGCUUCUUGCAGAAAAGAUUUUGAGGAACCUUUGAAACAUGCUGGCAAAAUCUGAUGAGAAGGCAGUAGCGUGCUUGAAGCAGAAAUUCCAAGAACGAAACUGUAGCCAUUUCCAAGAGAUGCUAAGAAGAUGCAGCUGGCAGGGAGGAACAAAGGCUGUCUGUCAUGAUGUAGUCGAAGAUAAGGAUGAAGAGGAGAGUUGUUCCUCCAGCAAGGUGCACAAAGAGUGCUGCUAGAGAGAAGGAGCCAAAAUCAAGGAUUUGGAGGAAUGGAUGCUGAGAACGCCUGUCCCACACGUCAGUGCUGUUUGAGAUACGGCGAAGCUGUGCCAGUGACAACCACAAGAAGAGCUCUCUGAUCGGAUGGUUUCAGGGGCUGUCUACGUCCAGAGGAAGGACUCUGGGGUGCCACAACUCUUGUUUGAAACUUAAAGCAGCGAUGUGGCAUUCAGUGCAGCUAAGGAUGGGCAGCCCGACCCUGCCAACUGCUGUGUUAAAAAGUAAUGGAGGAAGGAGAACAAACACCUGCAGAAGCUGUUCCACAUGUAGUAGAGGAGGCACAGCGCGCAUAAAAGUAAUAUGCCUCACCUUGCUGCCUCCAUCUCAGCCUGGCCAUUUUCUGCACUGAAACGAGGCUUUUGCAGUUGUGUUGAGUGUUCAUCAGCUGUUCCCCCCGGAGAGGUGAGCACACACAGGAGGUUGGUGGCACAGAGUGGGCAUCCCUUCUGGAGGUGCUCCCUGAAACGAGGACCUCAGCAGGUGCUCAGUCAGCUGGGGUUAAACCCAGCUGUGCCCUGCUCUGGCCCAUGCUGUCGCUUUUGCAAAAGUAAGGGGAAGGCAGGUUUGAGUGGACAGUUGCAGAUAACAUGGAAAAAGGGUUUUAAGUCUUGCCAUGUGAUCAUUUUUAAAUAGAGACACACAAAGACUCAGGUUGGCUCCCUGAGCUGGGCUAAGUGCAUCAGAGGCUGCACCCGGCUGCCUGUUUUUGGCAGCAUCCCCUCUGGGCAGAUGCACAGUCCCCCUGUGGUCCCGGGGCUCUUCCAGGGGCACAUCAUUGCUCUCAGGGGCAUUCAAGGCUCUGCCCAUGCAAUUCGGUUUAAUCUUAUCAUGCUGUAACCCCCUUCUCCCGCUUUGUUCCUCUAGCUGCUGUUUCUCUGGUUGCUGGGACAAGUUGAGGCUGUCCCCAUGCCAGUCUGGGUGUUACAUAGUGGCCCCUGGCCUGGUGGCUGAGCUGGGGGCUGGGGGUCAGGUUUGGAAACAGCACUCACCAGGUGAGCACCAGAGAUCAGUAAGGAGCAAAGGCCAGAGCUGUUUGGUUUGAUGUUUUUGGCUCAAUUCUGAAAAACCUUCAAAAUCAGUUUUGCCCAAGGAAGGAGCAGGCUGAGAACAACAGAUCCUGCCUUGGGGCUGGAGGGAAGGGGCAGGGACGUGGUCACCAUGCCCCUGCAGCGUCCCCAGGAGCCUGCCUGGGACAUGGGGUCAGAGGGAGCUAAAACGACCCCACACCCACAGCCCCUCCGUAUCACCAAAUCUUCAAGAGGCUCCAUCAAACAUCUUGAGUUAGUCCAAAAUGCUCCUGGCAUUCCAGCUGGCAAACAUUCGGUGAUGCUGUUGCAAAAAUGACUCAGGAGGACACGUUUCCAGCUCAGCCUUCCUGGGCUGAGAGGCAUGGGCAAUACAGAGCGCUCCGGCCACAACCUUUAAGGUAAGACCUCAGCUACACCCUCUCGCCCUCUCACAGCACUGGUCUCAGCUAGCUCCUACAUUGAGUCUUUUUUUUUUUUCUUUUUUUUCCCCUGGGAUCCCCACAGAAGCUGCUCCUGGGCUCUUUUUCUACUCAGUUUAUUUGUUUUAACGUGUUGUCCCCAGAUAGCCUUGUCUUUCCAGUCAGGUUUGUCUUUCGCAGCUGCUCCCUGGGCCUCAUUGGACUUUAACUAAACCAAACUUACAAACAAACAAAAAAUAACAGCAACAAAAACAACAACCAAGCAAAAACAAACAAACCAAAGGCCACCAACCACCAAGGCGUUGUAGCCUCUCGGUUAAAUACAAACAUAUGUGGGAGGCUCAGGCCUUGACACUCCUGGGCCCCACAAGGCGCCCAUGCUCCCCAUCCCAGGUCCAACUCUGGGUAGCACCCCCAGCCUUCGCUGAACGCUGAAGUUGCUGGCAUUUGAGGCUGGUUAAAAGCUGAAGAGCUGAGGCAUUUCCAGGGAGUGAGUGCUUUGCACAGCCUGACUCUGCCUGUGUGAUAGGCACUUUGUAAUCCUGGCAGAGGAAUUUAGUUGAGAGAGCAUUAUGGGCAGAUUAAAGUAGCCAAGGCGCAGUUCAUUUGCUGCCCUCUGCUCUUCUGGUUUGACUUUUUCUAGCGUCAGGCAGCAACGUACAAAAUAUUUCCUGGGCCACUCAGAGAUCUACACAAGAUGUAUUCAGCCCCGUGACUUAGCAGUAGCUGCCGUGACUUCAGUGCUGCUGUUUAUUUUUCAAAAAAAAAUCUUCUGAUGGUUUUUUACUUGGUACAAUCUUCUGUACAUGAGGGGUGUUUUGUUUGUUUUAAAUGGGAUAUUCAGCGACUUCUUUGCAGCUUUCCAGUUGUAUAUUUCGUAAACUGAGUGCAAGCUUUAAAGAGCUUUGUCUGACUUCUGGGGCUGCUCCAUGGCUACUGAAAUGUUGACCCAGCCUCUCCUGCCUGCGUGGUCCUAGACUUUACCAGCGGUGGUACAGGGCCUGCAGCUGCUGCUCGCUUUGCUCUUGGCGAGCCCAAAGAUCGGCAGCGCACUGCCCGCCUGCGCUCAGCACCCAGGGGUGCAGCUGGGCCCUGCUGGGACAAAAUGCUGCUGCUACACAAAGCAGCCAGGGCUGCUGCUGCAAGCCCCAGCCACCCGCUGGGCAGAGCUCCAAAGCCUGCUGCUGCUGUGGUUGUGGUGGGUCAUCCAGCCCUGCAGAUAGUUUUUUUUCUUUUCUUUUACAGCACGAUCAACCUUUAUUCUGAAAUGAGUCUUCAUGUCUGAAUAAUUUCAUAUGCACUUGCCCAUCUGUUUCAUGAAAGACACAGAUAACCUCGUGCAGCAUGAAACUGCCUGCAAAAGCUAAAUUGUGCUUUUCAGCAGCAGCUUAAACACCUGAAUUUAAUAGCCUUUGCAGGGCUUGUCUGAAUGAGUGGCAGAGGGCUUUAAAUUAAUAUUGUUUCACAGGAAAAUAGCUGGUUGAUUAA